rnacentral:misc_RNA from 1 species
GAAACGCGAUAGUUAAUGUGAAUUGCAGAAUUCAGUGAAUCAUCGAGUCUUUGAACGCACAUUGCGCCCAUAGGUAUUCCUUUGGGCAUGUCUGUUUGAGCGUCAUUACAACCCUCAGCUAACCGCUGGUUUUGAACCUGAACGGGUGACACCGCGCCGGUUUUAAAGUUGUAAGCUCUGCUAGCCGCUCUGCCCAACCAGAACAUAGUAAGCACUACUUGUCCGGGUGAAGCUGAACGGUACGGCCUGAACAAAACCUACCCACUCUCAAGGUUUGACCUCAGAUCAGACAAGGAUACCCGCUGAACUUAAGC